rnacentral:rRNA from 1 species
CCUACGGGAGGCAGCAGUGGGGAAUCUUGCGCAAUGGGCGAAAGCCUGACGCAGCCAUGCCGCGUGAAUGAUGAAGGUCUUAGGAUUGUAAAAUUCUUUCACCGGGGACGAUAAUGACGGUACCCGGAGAAGAAGCCCCGGCUAACUUCGUGCCAGCAGCCGCGGUAAUACGAAGGGGGCUAGCGUUGCUCGGAAUUACUGGGCGUAAAGGGAGCGUAGGCGGAUAGUUUAGUCAGAGGUGAAAGCCCAGGGCUCAACCUUGGAAUUGCCUUUGAUACUGGCUAUCUUGAGUAUGGGAGAGGUUAGCGGAACUCCGAGUGUAGAGGUGAAAUUCGUAGAUAUUCGGAAGAACACCAGUGGCGAAGGCGGCUAACUGGCCCAUUACUGACGCUGAGGCUCGAAAGCGUGGGGAGCAAACAGGAUUAGAUACCCUGGUAGUCCACGCCGUAAACGAUGAGUGCUAGUUGUCGGCAUGCAUGCAUGUCGGUGACGCAGCUACGCAUAAGACACUCCGCCGUCGGGAGGUACGGUCGCGAGAUAAACUACAANAGAAGUAGACGGCGNGAGACGUGCCGACGACGACGACGAGGGAGGUUAGG